GCUCUGAUGGUGUAGCACGGCCAAGCAUAAAGGGCUCUCGACCCUUCGACCCGGGUUCGAAUCCCGGUCAGAGCA
rnacentral:tRNA from 1 species